GGUUUGAUGGCUAGUUGGUUGAACGAAGAAUUUGGUUUUUUGUGAUAAGCCAAUAGGACUG
rnacentral:tRNA from 1 species